ensembl:lncRNA
UUAUUUCUUUAAUUCACCCAAAUUUCAUACAUGUUUCAAAGUACUUCCUAGGCCUGUGAAGUUUUUUAUUGCAUUCUUGAAACUGGGCCAAUUUCUGAGAUGCCCAGCAAUGAGUACUAGGUAGGUCAUGAUGGUUCUUUUAGCCACAGCUCCCACUGAGCUUGCCAUGUACAUGGCAACAGCAAUGGUGCAACCUGGAACAUGGGUGAGUGCUUACAUUUAAGUGCAGUGGGAGCAUCUGCUGAGCUCAUCCACCUCACAUCAUGCCUUUAGACACCAUGUCUAAGCUCAAAUUACACCCCAGGCCACAUGUAGGUAAGUGCAGUGUGGAAAAGGCACCCCUCCAGCCACCUGCAGGAAUGCCCUGAGGACCUUGGGGCUGAUCUGCCCCUGCCACCUACUUCUGGGCAAAGCCCAGACCUCCCAGGUGAAGGGAAGACAGGGAGGAGGGAUAAAUCCUCUCAUGGUGUUAAUUAUUGAUGUAUUUUAAAUUACUCAUUUAAAUACCGGGAGGUGCUUAAUCCCCUCCUGUGACAGAGGCAGGUUGGGAGCACUGUGUGCUCUGCUGGGCGCUGAGCGGCACUGGCACACACAGCUCUGUCAUUAGCAAGCUGGCUGCUGCUGGCACGUGCACACAGAUGACUGUGUCAUUAAAAACAUUUUUUCCAUCUAAUACUCCAAAGGUUAUUCUUGGUGACAAGUGCUUUCCAGCUUGUGGCAGGCUGGCUCCUACAUUGAGUCCAUAUUCAAGCAUGACCAGGUCUCUUGGAUGCCUUUCUGUUACCAUCUAUAUCUAUACCUAUGUGCUAUUGUGCUGUCAAGAGGCGGAUGAGAUGAACUGGAGGUGAACAAAAGUCUUGUUGCCUCUAGUUUACCUCACCAGUGUCCAGGUACAACAGUACUGGGUGUCCUCCAAAAUGUUUCCCAAAGCAAAGAGCUAUGUUGGUGGAGACAGGCAGGUAGGCAUCAUCCCACUACAGCAGCUGAAGCCUGAAGAGGCAUAUGCAGCUGAUGGGGACUUCUCCUUGCAGAUGGUGCUGUGAAGAGGCAUCUUGUUGUAUUAGGGAUGGAGAGUAGUGGAGGGGUCCUUCCAUGCCAGGGACAAAAGGUGGCCUACAAAGCAGUCUAGCAGCCCCAGAUAUGGAAUCAGAGGAAAUACGCAUCACAGAUUUUUGUUAAAACCUUUGGUCGGUGUCUCUAACAAACACUUCCAUUUCUCACUGUACUGUACCACAACAGAUUCCUGAUGCUUGCACACACUCCUCUUACUUAUCCCAGCUUUCUCUGGCUUGGCUCCCUUUGGUCCUGGAUCUAAGCCUCCGAACCUGUGGGAACCAGGAUACUUCUGUGCAGCAGUGGCAUCAAACCAACCCCAAAGAACCCCAGUGAGCCAUAACAUCCCCCAGAAAUCCUCAUGGUCCCAUCAAUGGAGUCAAAGACGAACCAGAACCAGAACUGGAACUUGUGCGUUUCCUCUUAGGUCAGGAGCAAGUGUGCUCUCUUUGGACAGGAGCUGUCCAGCACGGCAAGAGGUGGGAAGUGAUCCCACAGGCCUGUGAAGGUGGUGGGAGUGUGCAGCACCCAAUAGGGCAGCGGUCUCUUUUGCUUUGCCAAGCUCUGGUUGCCCAAGAAAGUGAUGUCCAGGGCAGCCUUGCCACAGCUACUCUGCCAGGGCUGCCUUUUCUAUGCGUGCCCAACCGGAAUUCUUCCACUCCACUUGGUCACUUUGCAUUGCACUGUGAGGUGCCCAAGCCCCAGUCUCCCCUGGAACCCUGUACAUGGACCCCAUGCUGUCAGGCAAAGAUAGGAGACUGAGGUUAUGGGCUGCACCAGUCCCCCUGUGCUUCAGAGGGCACGAAGGAACAGUUCUAGCUCAAGGGCUACUGUAAAGGGCAUUUUGAGGGUCAGGUGUCCAAAUUCAAGUGGAAAAAAACAGUCAGUGAUGACACUGGGUGAGGAGGCAGCAUGGUACUGGCCAAAACUGGGACAUUGUUCCUGGGGAGCUUUUGGGGGACAAGUGAGUGUCUCUUUGCCAAAUUCUUCUUUAUCCAAAGGCUGAUUUUUGACCAGCACCCAUGCAGUGCAGUAUCACUAGGACAGCAUAACCUGUGGGGUGCUGUGGGUGCCCUUUGUGGCAACAGUGAUGGGAAGACAGCCAGAGGUACCACUGGCCCCACACAAUGCAUGGCCCUUGGACUACGUCCCCAUACCAUGGCAGGCCCCAGGGACAAAGCAGCUCCUUUGAUCCUCUUGGCUUUUCCUUUGUGAUA